GGGUAGUUUGACUGGGGCGGUCUCCUCCUAAAGAGUAACGGAGGAGCACGAAGGUCAGCUAAUCCUGGUCGGACAUCAGGAGGUUAGUGCAAUGGCAUAAGCUGGCUUGACUGCGAGCGUGACGGCGCGAGCAGGUGCGAAAGCAGGUCAUAGUGAUCCGGUGGUUCUGAAUGGAAGGGCCAUCGCUCAACGGAUAAAAGGUACUCCGGGGAUAACAGGCUGAUACCGCCCAAGAGUUCAUAUCGACGGCGGUGUUUGGCACCUCGAUGUCGGCUCAUCACAUCCUGGGGCUGAAGUAGGUCCCAAGGGUAUGGCUGUUCGCCAUUUAAAGUGGUACGCGAGCUGGGUUUAGAACGUCGUGAGACAGUUCGGUCCCUAUCUGCCGUGGGCGCUGGAGAAUUGAGGGGGGCUGCUCCUAGUACGAGAGGACCGGAGUGGACGCAUCACUGGUGUUCGGGUUGUCAUGCCAAUGGCAUUGCCCGGUAGCUAAAUGCGGAAGAGA
rnacentral:rRNA from 1 species